CCUACGGGUGGCAGCAGUGGGGAAUAUUGGGCAAUGGGCGCAAGCCUGACCCAGCAACGCCGCGUGAAGGAAGAAGGCUUUCGGGUUGUAAACUUCUUUUCUGAGGGACGAAGAACGUGACGGUACCUCAGGAAUAAGCCACGGCUAACUACGUGCCAGCAGCCGCGGUAAUACGUAGGCAGCAAGCGUUAUCCGGAUUUAUUGGGUGUAAAGGGCGUGUAGGGGGGAAAGCAAGUCAGAUGGUAAAACUGAGGGCUCAACCCUGAGCCUGCAUUUGAAACUGUUUUUCUUGAGUGCUGGAGAGGCAAUCGGAAUUCCGUGUGUAGCGGUGAAAUGCGUAGAUAUACGGAGGAACACCAGUGGCGAAGGCGGAUUGCUGGACAGUAACUGACGCUGAGGCGCGAAAGCGUGGGGAGCAAACAGGAUUAGAUACCCCUGUAGUC
rnacentral:rRNA from 1 species